rnacentral:rRNA from 1 species
GAGGAAUAUUGGGCAAUGGAGGCAACUCUGACCCAGCCAUGCCGCGUGCAGGAUGACUGCCCUAUGGGUUGUAAACUGCUUUUANACAGGAAGAAACCAUUCUACG